UGUGUAGGUGGUUUCGUUAGUCUUCUGUCAAAACCUUGGGCUCAACCCAAGACUUGCAGUGGAAACGGCGAGACUCGAGGAUGCGAGAGGUGAAUGGAACUCAUGGAGUAGGGGUGAAAUCCGUUGAUAUCAUGGGGAACACCAAAUGCGAAGGCAAUUCACUGGCGCAUUCCUGACACUGAAACACGAAAGCGUGGGUAGCAACG
rnacentral:rRNA from 1 species